CGGCGGACGGGUGAGUAACGCGUGGGUAACCUGCCUCAUACAGGGGGAUAACAGUUGGAAACGGCUGCUAAUACCGCAUAAGCGCACAGUACCGCAUGGUACCGUGUGAAAAACUCCGGUGGUAUGAGAUGGACCCGCGUCUGAUUAGCUAGUUGGUGGGGUAACGGCCUACCAAGGCGACGAUCGGUAGCCGGACUGAGAGGAAGGUCCCCCACAUUGGAACUGAGACACGGUCCAA
rnacentral:rRNA from 1 species